rnacentral:rRNA from 1 species
GACGAACGCUGGCGGCGUGCUUAACACAUGCAAGUCGUGCGGUAAGGCCUUUCGGGGUACACGAGCGGCGAACGGGUGAGUAACACGUGGGUGAUCUGCCCUGCACUUCGGGAUAAGCCUGGGAAACUGGGUCUAAUACCGGAUAUGACCUCCUAUCGCAUGGUGGGUGGUGGAAAGAUUUAUCGGUGCAGGAUGGGCCCGCGGCCUAUCAGCUUGUUGGUGGGGUAAUGGCCUACCAAGGCGACGACGGGUAGCCGACCUGAGAGGGUGACCGGCCACACUGGGACUGAGACACGGCCCAGACUCCUACGGGAGGCAGCAGUGGGGAAUAUUGCACAAUGGGCGAAAGCCUGAUGCAGCGACGCCGCGUGAGGGAUGACGGCCUUCGGGUUGUAAACCUCUUUCAGCAGGGACGAAGCGCAAGUGACGGUACCUGCAGAAGAAGCACCGGCUAACUACGUG